UGGAUCCCAAUGAAGAUGAAAUGGCCUCUUGAUAGGAAGUGCCGUAUGACACUUGUAAUGCAGUUGCCUGUCCAGUCCUUGGCUCUUUCUCCUCUUGACCAUGCCUCCCUCAAAUCCUACCAUAGGUUUGAGUUUCCGGGGUGUUGUUCAAAGGGGAAUUUGAAGUUCAAUGGACUUGGAGUUCAGCUGUGUGUGUGAUUUUAAAUCGGUCACUGAGGGCUCUUUUAACCUGUUGAAAGUUACUCCACUUUCAUUGGUUUUGAAUAUCCUUUCUUUGGCAUUUUGCAUGUUGAUAGGAAUCUGUGGUCAAGAUCACUGUCCAUCCAUGGAGUUGAUUUCUGUGAUCACAGAUAGUGAAUGUUUUCUGUCAUUUGUUAUUUUAGAAUGCUGUUUUCUAUAUGGUCUAGGCAAUGCCAUUUGUUUUAUCUGUUAUGCAACUCGUUAUUGUUGUUAUAUUUGAUAGUCGGCUAUGCCAUGCAACUCUUAUUGUUCAUGUUUUUGUCAUAUCCCAUUAUCUUAUAAGCUACUGGUCUUGUAGCAAACCUAAAGCUUUACAGAGAUAAAAGUAAGUAGGAAUUAGUGGAUUCCCAUUUGCAUGAUGAUGGCUUACCUGGUCAUUGUUAGUUCAGAGAUAAAAAAAACAGUAAAGGUUUUUUAUGAAGGCUUUACAGAGAUAAACCUAAAGCUUUACAGAGAUAAAACCUAAAGGUUUUUUAAGGUUCAGAGAUAAACCUAAAGCUUUACAGUGGUAAAAGCUUUACAGAGAUAAAAAAAACAGUAUUAUGAAGGCUUACCUGGUCAGAGAUAAACCUAAAGCUUUACAGAGAUAAAACCUAAAGGUUUUUUAAGGUUCAGAGAUAAACCUAAAGCUUUACAGUGGUAAAAGCUUUACAGAGAUAAAAAAACAGUAUUAUGAAGGCUUACCUGGUCAUCGUUAGUUCUAUCAAAUGUUGGUUCAACUCUUAUUGCAUGUCUCUGUAACUGAUAUUUUAGUUUACUGUCAUUUGACUAUAAGGGUUGAAAUGUUCAAUUUUUAUUGACAUUAAUACCCUUUAGAACUUUGUCAAAUGAUCACUCUGUUUAAACUCCAAUAAUUUCUUAUCAGAUCAUAGAACUCUUAAUUCUUUCUAUUAUUGGUUUGAGUUCAUUGAUACUUCUGGGAUGAAGAAACUGUAUCCUGCAAGUGACGACAAGAUAGACAGGGACAUCUAACUCUUUACAGAGAAUGAUGACUUGGUCUAUGGGAAUCUCUCUGAUGCAUGAGACUGUUUUCUCCCCUGUCUAUUCUGUAUUUUGUGACUGUUUUUCUUCGAUGGCAUGAUGCUUUUUUGGUGCAUCUAUUCAAUAGGCAAUUGUAAUUGUAUCAUAUAAGUUCUGCCUGUGAUGCACAAAAAGUGCACGUAUUAUCAGAGGUGAUUAUGACUUUUUUUUCUCCUUUUGACCAUGCCUCCCUCAAAUCCUACCAUAGGUUUGAGUUUCCGUGGGCGUGUUCAAAGGUGAAUUUGAAGUUCAAUGGACUUGGAGUUUGGCUGUGUGUGUGAUUUUAAAUGGGUCACUGACGGCUCUUUUAACCUGACCAAACUUAAUCUGCUUUCAUUGGUUUUGAAUAUCCUUUCUUUUCUAAGGUGUGUUUUUUUAACUUUGUGGUCUGAAGCCAUGUCAACAGUAGCAUAUGCAUUGACUGGUGGUGCUAUGAUCGGGCCCAAAUUAAGUCCUGAUUUGGCAUGUUGCAUGUUGAUAGGUAUCUGUGGACAAUCACUGUUCACCCAUGGAGCUGAUUUUGUGAUCGCAGAUAGUGAAAGUUUUCCGUCAUUUGUUAUUUUAGAAUGCUGUUUUUUUUAUAGUCAGGCAAUGCCAUUUGUUUUAUCUGUUAUGCAACUUGUUACUGUUGUUAUAUUUGAUAGCCCGCUAUGCCAUGCAACUCUUAUUGUUCAUGUUUUUGUCAUAUCCCAUUGUCUUAUAAGCUACUGGUCUCGUAGCAAACCUAAAGUUUUAAAGAGCUAAAAGUAAUUAGGAAUUAGUGGAUUACCAUUUGUAGAAAUUAUCCUGCAUGUUUGUAUUUGAUUUGCUGAUAUUCAGGAAUUGGGCUUACCAGGUCAUUGUUAGUUCUAUCAAAUGUUGGUUCAACUCUUAUUGUGUGUAAACUCUUUAGAACUUUGUCAUUAUGAUCACUCUGUGUAAUGUUAAAUUUUUAUUGAGAUUAAAAACCCUUUAGAACUUUGUCAAAUGAUCACUCUGUGUAAACUCCAAUAAUUUCUUAUCAGAUCAUAAGAACUCUUAAUUCUUUCUAUUAUUGGUUUUUGAGUUCAUUGAUACGUCUGGGAUGAGAAACCGUAUCCUGCAAGUGAUGACAAGAUAGACAGGGACUCGGCACUCUUUACAGAGAAUGAUGACUUGGUCUAUGGGAAUCUAUCUGAUGCACAAGAUUGUUUUCUCCCCUUAGUCUAUUAUAUAUUUUUUGACUAUUUUUCUUCUACAGCAUGAUGUUUUUUGGGUGCAUCUAUUCGAUAUGCAAUUGUAAUUGUAUCAUAUAAGUUCUGCCCGUGAUGCACAAAAAAUGCACGUAUUAUCAGAGAUGUUGUGAUGAUAUAUUAGUUGUCACUACCGCUGAGGCAGUCAAUUUGAAGUGAUGCUAUUGCAUCUCUAGUUCAUUACUUCCUUUUUUGUUGGUUUGUUUGUUUGUUGAUCUGAGCUAGUAUGCAUUGAUCAUUUGAAUGAUAACUUGGUUCAUGCAUUGUCUUAACUAUGCAAAAAUUGUUUUUGUAAAACACUGUGACAAUGAAGUAUUAUUUUUGUAUAACACCCUGUCAUCUUUCAAGAUUCCACUACCUUAUAUAUGCGAUGUUCAUUUUAAUGUUCUGUGAAACUUUUGAUUUUAGGAUCUAAUCCACUUUUUAAACUCGUAGUACCUGAUUGGUUCAUGCAAGACUUGUGUCUUGCAUUUUCCUGUGAAUGAUUAGUGCCUAUGAUGGUUUUAAAUAUACUACGAGUGACUACAAUGAUAAGGACUUUAUCUGAGGCACAAUCAUCUGGUUUCACUUAUUUUUAUAGGUUAUUUGUAUUUUAAAUGUUUGUCUUUGUAAUAUGAGUAAUUUAGUUGGUGUUGUAUCUGCAAACGAACUUUCGAUGUGGGUUUUUCGUUCGGGAGCAUGUGGCAGGGUUCCUCAAGUUUUUAGUUUCAAUGCCUAAUUCUUCUGCCAUUAUUCUAGACCAAAUUAGUGUCUUACAGUCAUGCAAAUUAUUUGCAAUCCUUGUUUUAUCAUUUAAAUGUGUUUUAUUAUUUUUCCUUUUUUAUAUUUUUCGUGGAAGGAUUUCAUAGGGCCGCUUAACUUAGUAGGAUGGUUUCUUUGAAUGUUUGAAAUGUUCAUAUUUGUUAUUAUGACAUGAAUUUUUAAUGCUGAUUAUAAAAUUUGGCUCAGAUCUUGGUUAAGUGCCAAUUGCCAAGCACAAUGUCAUCCAGAUUUGGGAUCAACCACUAGGACUUGUUUCAAAGCUGGUGUGUUCACAAAGCAGAGAUUCUGGAGUUAUGUUGGCGCUGCUUUUAUCAAAAGAUUGUCAUAAAUAUCUAAAUUCAUGAUAGUAAUUUAUUUUGCUUUACAGUUUUAUGUUGACAUCUAUUUGUUUAAUGUAUUUUACAGCUAAACGAUCUUUGAAUAAGAAACUUGUGAAUAAAUUUAAAAUUUCUCAAAUAAUAAUUUUACUAAUAAUAUUUAGCUAUCUAUAACAAUAUGAAUGGGUCACACUUAUCCAAGAUGACAAAUGUUUAUAUGUUUUGUGUUUAUCAUCAUAUGAACGCUUAAGACAAAUUUUCUGAUAUAUGGAUUUUUCUAUAAAUUUUGGGUUUUGUGAUGUUAACUUGCAAUAAUAACCAAAAUUUAUCUAAUGCCAAUUGAAAUAUCUCCAUUUAUAUCGUCCGUGGUUUGACAACUGAUGUGUUGAGUUGAGAUUUAAUGUGGUGUUUAUUUUUAUUAGUUGGAAUUGAUAUUGGGAUGUUCAUAUGCAAGGUAUCAUCAUCAGCUGCUAACUUGUGAUCCAGCGUUGGCAUGAGUCAAUUGACAAAGUCAACCCAAAAGUUGAUUGAAGCUGAUAUUUAAGGAAAAUAAUGUCGGUAUAAUAGCAUUAUAGGUAUAUGUACUCUAUGGGGAGUAUGAGGUGAGAUCUUUGUACAUUGUAUCUAUCCUUAUAUAAAUGCACGUCAUUACAUCUUAACAUUUAAAUAUUCCACUUGAUUAUUACCAUUUUUAAUUUCUUAGCCAGGUAAAUAGAUAUAACAUGCCAAAUAACAACCCUUCUCAUGUUUGUGAAAG
rnacentral:lncRNA from 1 species